UACAGAGGGUGCAAGCGUUGUUCGGAAUUAUUGGGCGUAAAGGGCGCGUAGGCGGUGCGGUAAGUCUGUAGUGAAAUCUCUGGGCUCAACUCAGAGUCUGCUGCAGAAACUGCCGUGCUUGAGUGUGGGAGAGGUGAGUGGAAUUCCCGGUGUAGCGGUGAAAUGCGUAGAUAUUGGGAAGAACACCGGUGGCGAAGGCGGCUCACUGGCCCGAAACUGACGCUCAUGCACGACAGCGUGGGGAUCAAACAGG
rnacentral:rRNA from 1 species